UUCCCACUUAUCCCCUUGUAUCCCUGCCUUUCAGCAUGAAAAACACAGAAUGAGAGACACAGAGCACAGAUCUCAACCAGAGCCAAGCCUAAGCCAGAUAUGUCACAUUUAUGCUGCAUAUCUCAAGGCAGAAAUAUCUAUUUAUUGUUGUAAGCCUCGGAGGUUUGGAGGAAUGCUUCACUGCUGCAGCAAAAGUUGACUGGUGAAAAUGGAGACAGCAGAUUAUAAACCCCUUGAAAAAAGAAAGAAGCUGUGUCUAUGACAACUACAUAGCUGCUACGGAACCUGGCACAGUGCUAGCACACAGCAGGGGAUCAAUAAAUGUUGCUUGACUGACUAACAAAAAAGUGAACAUUAAAUGAAG
rnacentral:lncRNA from 1 species